rnacentral:rRNA from 1 species
AUCCCAGACUCCUACGGGAGGCAGCAGUGGGGAAUAUUGCACAAUGGGGGAAACCCUGAUGCAGCGACGCCGCGUGAGUGAGGAAGUAUUUCGGUAUGUAAAUCUCUAUCAGCAGGGAAGAAAAUGACGGUACCUGACUAAGAAGCCCCGGCUAACUACGUGCCAGCAGCCGCGGUAAUACGUAGGGGGCAAGCGUUAUCCGGAUUUACUGGGUGUAAAGGGAGCGUAGACGGCUAAUCAAGUCAGAAGUGAAAACCCAGGGCUCAACCUUGGGACUGCUUUUGAAACUGAGUAGCUAGAGUGCAGGAGAGGUAAGCGGAAUUCCUAGUGUAGCGGUGAAAUGCGUAGAUAUUAGGAG